rnacentral:rRNA from 1 species
UACGAAGGGGGCUAGCGUUGUUCGGAAUUACUGGGCGUAAAGCGCACGUAGGCGGGUUUGUAAGUAGGGGGUGAAAUCCCAGGGCUCAACCCUGGAACUGCCUUCUAGACUGCAAGCCUGGAGGUCAGGAGAGGCGAGUGGAAUACCGAGUGUAGAGGUGAAAUUCGUAGAUAUUCGGAGGAACACCAGUGGCGAAGGCGGCUCACUGGUCCGGUACUGACGCUGAGGUGCGAAAGCGUGGGGAGCAAACAGG